rnacentral:rRNA from 1 species
GUGAGGAAUUUUCCGCAAUGGGCGAAAGCCUGACGGAGCAAUGCCGCGUGAAGGAUGAAGGCCUAUGGGUUGUAAACUUCUUUUCUCAGAAAAGAAUUAUGACAGUAUCUGAGGAAUAAGCAUCGGCUAACUCUGUGCCAGCAGCCGCGGUAAGACAGAGGAUGCAAGCGUUAUCCGGAAUGAUUGGGCGUAAAGCGUCUGUAGGUUGUUUAAAAAGUAUUCUGUCAAAGAUUAGGGCUUAACCCUAGAUAGGCAGAAUAAACUUUUAAGCUAGAGUUUGGUAGAGGCAGAGGGAAUUCCCGGUGGAGCGGUGAAAUGCGUAGAUAUCGGGAGGAACACCAAAGGCGAAGGCACUCUGCUGGGCCAAUACUAACACUGAGAGACGAAAGCGAGGGGAGCAAAUGGGAUUAGAAACCCCAGUAGUCC